rnacentral:rRNA from 1 species
GCAUGAAGUCGGAAUUGCUAGUAAUCGCGGAUCAGCAUGCCGCGGUGAAUACGUUCCCGGGCCUUGUACACACCGCCCGUCACACCAUGGGAGCCGGUAAUACCCGAAGUCAGUAGUCCAACCUCGUGAGGACGCUGCCGAAGGUAGGAUUGGCGACUGGGGUGAAGUCGUAACAAGGUAGC